rnacentral:rRNA from 1 species
GAUGAACGCUAGCGGCAGGCCUAACACAUGCAAUUCGAGGGAGAAGCCCUUUCGGGGGCAGAAACCGGCGCACGGGUGCGUAACGCGUAUGCAACCUACCUUUCACAGGGGGAUAGCCCGAAGAAAUUUGGAUUAAUACCCCAUAAUAUUAUUGGAUGGCAUCAUUUGAUAAUUAAAACUGCGGUGGUGAAAGAUGGGCAUGCGUCCUAUUAGCUAGUUGGAGUGGUAACGGCACCCCAAGGCUACGAUAGGUAGGGGUCCUGAGAGGGAGAUCCCCCACACUGGUACUGAGACAGGGACCAGACUCCUACGGGAGGCAGCAGUGAGGAAUAUUGGUCAAUGGUCGGAAGACUGAACCAGCCAUGCCGCGUGCAGGAAGAAUGCCUUAUGGGUUGUAAACUGCUUUUAUAUGGGAAGAAUAAGGCGUACGUGUACGUUGAUGACGGUACCAUAUGAAUAAGCAUCGGCUAACUCCGUG